CUACGGGUCGCUGCAGUGGGGAAUAUUGCACAAUGGAGGAAACUCUGAUGCAGCAACGCCGCGUGGAGGAUGACACUUUUCGGAGCGUAAACUCCUUUUAUAUAGGAAGAUAAUGACGGUACUAUAUGAAUAAGCACCGGCUAACUCCGUGCCAGCAGCCGCGGUAAUACGGAGGGUGCAAGCGUUACUCGGAAUCACUGGGCGUAAAGAGCGUGUAGGCGGGUUAAUAAGUCAGAAGUGAAAUCCUAUGGCUCAACCAUAGAACUGCUUUUGAAACUGUUAACCUAGAAUAUGGUAGAGGUAGAUGGAAUUUCUGGUGUAGGGGUAAAAUCCGUAGAGAUCAGAAGGAAUACCGAUUGCGAAGGCGACCUACUGGAACAUUAUUGACGCUGAGACGCGAACGCGUGGGGAGCAAACAGGAUUAGAUACCCUAGUAGUC
rnacentral:rRNA from 1 species